rnacentral:rRNA from 1 species
GAACGCACAGCGAAAGGUGCUUGCACCUUUCAAGUGAGUGGCGAACGGGUGAGUAACACGUGGACAACCUGCCUCAAGGCUGGGGAUAACAUUUGGAAACAGAUGCUAAUACCGAAUAAAACUUAGUGUCGCAUGACACAAAGUUAAAAGGCGCUUCGGCGUCACCUAGAGAUGGAUCCGCGGUGCAUUAGUUAGUUGGUGGGGUAAAGGCCUACCAAGACAAUGAUGCAUAGCCGAGUUGAGAGACUGAUCGGCCACAUUGGGACUGAGACACGGCCCAAACUCCUACGGGAGGCUGCAGUAGGGAAUCUUCCACAAUGGGCGAAAGCCUGAUGGAGCAACGCCGCGUGUGUGAUGAAGGCUUUCGGGUCGUAAAGCACUGUUGUAUGGGAAGAACAGCUAGAAUAGGAAAUGAUUUUAGUUUGACGGUACCAUACCAGAAAGGGACGGCUAAAUACGUGCCAGCAGCCGCGGUAAUACGUAUGUCCCGAGCGUUAUCCGGAUUUAUUGGGCGUAAAGCGAGCGCAGACGGUUUAUUAAGUCUGAUGUGAAAGCCCGGAGCUCAACUCCGGAAUGGCAUUGGAAACUGGUUAACUUGAGUGCAGUAGAGGUAAGUGGAACUCCAUGUGUAGCGGUGGAAUGCGUAGAUAUAUGGAAGAACACCAGUGGCGAAGGCGGCUUACUGGACUGCAACUGACGUUGAGGCUCGAAAGUGUGGGUAGCAAACAGGAUUAGAUACCCUGGUAGUCCACACCGUAAACGAUGAACACUAGGUGUUAGGAGGUUUCCGCCUC